GGCCAGACAGACCCAGUGUCCCAGCCCCAGUGUCCCGGGCCCGGGCGAGGAACCGCAUAGGCAACAGGAGCCCCGCACCAGCGGCCCCGGCCCCGCUGCAAGGGGGAGUGCGGUGCUGACAUUUCUGCCGCCACGUAAGAGCCUCAGGCGAGUCCCUCUCCGCCCUCUCCAGUCCCCUCCCUCCCCCCCCGCCAUGGCACGAUCGACGUGUCAGCCCCAAAAGUUGAUUUCCAGGCCCUGGGAGAGUCCCUAUAAAGGUCCCGGGGCGUGCGUGGGACGGUGAGACGUGGCACCGCGGGGCUGCAGCGGGGGCGCGUAAGCAUCUCCCCCAGCCAAUUCCCUGAACUGAUGCUUUCAAAAUGAAGAGGAAGAUAGGAGUGAGAAUGAAGAAUACCUUGGAGAAAUCCAGUCAUAAAGUUUGAGGAGUAGAAGUAAUAGGAAAUAUUAAUAACUCUGGUCUCUUGCAUCAGUCAGAAUUCAGACUAAAAUGACGUAAAGUUACAAACCUGAGACAUAAGGGAUAUUAAAUUUGAAUCAAGAUUCACAUAUUUUUAUAUUAAUACAUAAUAAAAAUAUUUGCUUUUUCCCCUCAACUUUGGAUGGUAAUAUAUUCUGCUGCCUUUUACAACUUUCUUAUAUAGACUAAGUUUUCUUUUUUUUCAUAUUAGCCCCGAGACACCUCUUCAAACUAAGCCAGGGUAUAUAUUAGCAAUAUAUUAAUUGCUCCUCUC